rnacentral:lncRNA from 1 species
GCGUUCUAGAACAAGAUGGACAGCAUCCCUGGACAAAAUAUUUGCAGACUUGGUAGUCAAGCAGAUUCAACUGGGGAACAGGCCCAAUGAUAUUUUCGAUAAGAAAACAUGGAAUCAUAUCCGUGAUGAGUUUAACAGGCAAACCGACCUUAAUUUCAAUAAUAAUCAAUUAAGGAAGCAUCUAGAUGUUCUUCGGAUGCGUUACAACAAUUUGAAAUCUGCUUAUGAUCAUAAUAAUGGCUUUCUAUUGGAUGACUCCAUUUGCAUUGGAUUUGAACAGUGGGAAGACAUAGGGGUAAAUUCCUUUCUUUAACAAUCAUUUUCUUGACUCUUUUUUCAUUCAAUGUUAAUUUUAUUGGGUUUUGUACACAGGCACAGCCAAGGAAUGAAACAGUUAGAGUAAAAGAUUGUCCAAUAUAUGAGCAGCUUUGUACAAUAUUUGUAGAUUCAGCUGCUGAUGGGAAAUAUGCCCAAUCUAGUCAUUAUGAGGAGUUAGACAAAUCUAUUGGAAUAGAUGCUUCUGGCUUGUAUGAAAACCCAUCUUCAUCAAAAGCCAUUUCAGGGAAUAUCUUAACUGUUGAUAAGGAGACCAAGAAUUCUCUAGAUAGGAAGAGGAAACGUCAUCAUGAGACUCAAACUACUACUCUGGAUCAAGGCACUUGCGAUGCUAUGGCUGGAGCCUUGUUUGAAAUGAUUGCUGUUUCAAGGUCAAGGGCAGUUGUUUCAAGUGCAAGUGAUGAUAAAUUUUCCAUAACAAACUGCAUUAGGGCUCUGGAUGAGAUACAAGACAUUGAUCAACUGCUCUAUUUUUCUGCACUGGACCUGUUUGAGGACCCUAGAUUAAGGGAGACUUUCAUUUCCUUAAAAAGUGUCAAGAUUCGGCUGACAUGGUUACAAGGAAAGUGCAGUAAAAAUCCCUUCCAUUAAAUUUAAGUCAUUACUUAGGUUAAAUGUGUUGUUUAUAUUAUACACUUAUUUUUGUUUGGCUGGAAGUAAUUCUGUUUUUGGCUCUCAACCUGCCGUAAUUAUUUAUAAGUGCUAUUUCAUCUUAAGUUGAUUUUCAUAGUUAUUUCUCUGGAUUUAAUUUGUGAAUCAUUUAUUGUAUGUAGAAGAAUAAGCAAUGUUUGACCCGACACACCUUUGUGUCCGGAGUGAGUCCGGACACAUUAAGGAAAUUAUUAAUUUUUUUUGAAGUUAAAUCAUUUAUAAAAUUUAAAAUUAAUGAAACCUAAUACACCCCAAAAUAUCUUUCACCAGAUCUCACGAGUCGUUUGUUCUUCCUGUUCCACCAGCGACGGCGUUUUCUCCGCCGGGGACAACCUUGCUCCUGGUCCUCUUCGUCGCUUCUCUUCCCUGUUACUGGCUAAAGGUAAGACCUUUUUCACUUGUAUUUUGUUUUGACUCAUCCUUAUUAGUUUCUGUGUGAUAUGGUUAUUGUAAUGAUGUUGCUGUCAUAUAUUAUGAUAGAGAGCAUAAUCUGAUUAUGAUAUGAGUUGGAAGGAAUGUAUGAAUUUGUGUUUGAUUUUGUAGCGAUUUAAAAUGAAAACCAUUAUUGAGCUGAUUUUGCUGCAAUGCUAGAGAGGUUAUGUUUGUAUGUCCUUAUUUAAUUCGAUCUUUAAAGCUCCCCUGGAUGCACAUUAUUAUCAUGGUGUUCUACAGGAUAGGUCAUAUGUGUGACACUGUUUUAAAAACAAUAUGAUCUGUGACUUAGGUAGGUCAUAGAUGCAUGGGACAUUUUACUUUUUCUUAAAUUUUAGAGAAUCAAUGUAAUAGAAUCUUAUUGAGCUAUAAGCAUUCAUGCUGGUGCAGAUGGAACUUGAACCCAGUAUUCAACCCAAGCAAGAGCGUUCUAGAACAAGAUGGACAGCAUCCCUGGACAAAAUAUUUGCAGACUUGGUAGUCAAGCAGAUUCAACUGGGGAACAGGCCCAAUGAUAUUUUCGAUAAGAAAACAUGGAAUCAUAUCCGUGAUGAGUUUAACAGGCAAACCGACCUUAAUUUCAAUAAUAAUCAAUUAAGGAAGCAUCUAGAUGUUCUUCGGAUGCGUUACAACAAUUUGAAAUCUGCUUAUGAUCAUAAUAAUGGCUUUCUAUUGGAUGACUCCAUUUGCAUUGGAUUUGAACAGUGGGAAGACAUAGG